rnacentral:rRNA from 1 species
GCGGCAUGCUUUACACAUGCAAGUCGAACGGUAACAGGGAGCUUGCUCCGCUGACGAGUGGCGAACGGGUGAGUAAUGCGUCGGAACGUGCCGAGUAGUGGGGGAUAACGCAUCGAAAGGUGUGCUAAUACCGCAUACGUACUGAGGUAGAAAGUGGGGGACCUUCGGGCCACAUGCUAUCGGAUGCGCCUACGUGGGAUUAGCUAGUUGGUGGGGUAAUGGCUCACCAAGGCGACGAUCCCUAGCUGGUUUGAGAGGAUGAUCAGCCACACUGGAACUGAGACACGGUCCAGACUCCUACGGGAGGCAGCAGUGGGGAAUAUUGGACAAUGGGCGCAAGCCUGAUCCAGCCAUGCCGCGUGUGUGAAGAAGGCCUUCGGGUUGUAAAGCACUUUCAGUAGGGAGGAAGCGUUGUGUGUUAAUAGUACACAGCGUUGACGUUACCUACAGAAGAAGCACCGGCUAACUCUGUGCCAGCCGCCGCCGUAACAC